UCCCGUUUAACACGGGCAGUCUCCCUAGAGUGCCCAACUGAAUGGUGGCAACUAGGGACAAGGGUUGCGCUCGUUAAGGGACUUAACCCGACAUCUCACGAUACGAGCUGACGACAGCCAUGCAGCACCUGUACUCCCGGUAUCCGAAGAUAACCCUCUAUCUCUAGAGGUAGCCGGGGAUUUCAAACCCAGGUAAGGUUCUUCGCGUUGCAUCGAAUUAAACCACAUGCUCCACCGCUUGUGCGGGCCCCCGUCAAUUCCUUUGAGUUUUAAUCUUGCGACCGUACUUCCCAGGCGGGGUACUUAAUGCGUUAGCUUCGGCACUGUAAGGGUCAAUACCUACAACACCUAGUACCCAUCGUUUACAGCGUGGACUAC
rnacentral:misc_RNA from 1 species